rnacentral:rRNA from 1 species
ACUAGGAUUAGAUACCCUAUUAUUUUAAAUGUUAAAUUAAAAUACUAGAUAAUUAUUAGAUAUGGUCUUUAAAAUUAAAAAAUUUGGCGGUAUUUUAGUCUAUUCAGAGGAACCUGUUUUUUAAUCGAUAAUCCACGUUAAAAUUUACUUUUUUUUAGUUUGUAUAUCGUCGUAAUUUGAAUAUUUUAAAAGAAUGUUAAUAUUCAAGAUUUUUAUAAGAAAUAAAUCAGAUCAAGGUGCAGUUUAUAUAAAAGUAAAAAUGGGUUACAAUAAUUAUAUUUUAAAAGAUUUAAAUUUUAAAAGUUUAAUGAAUUUGGAUUUGAAAGUAAUUAUUAAUAUUUUUUAGUAAUGAUUUAAGCUCUAAAAUAUGUACAUAUCG